UGCAUUGUUACAUUAGGUACAACAAAAUACAAAAACAAUAUUAAUACACAAUAUAUACAAAAUUUAACAUAGAACAGGCAGGAAAUAUAUAAUCAACCAUGACACGUGCAUUCUGUUUUGAGGUAUGUAGAGAGGGAUCUCUUAAAUGACUUUAGGCUUAGGGAAGAUUUUAAAUUGUGCGGGAGGUCGUUCCACAAUUGCGGCGCUCUGUAGGAGAAGGAGGAUCGGGCCGCUUUCUUUUGUAU
rnacentral:lncRNA from 1 species